GCAGAGCAGGCUCAUCUCUUUUUCUCCCGGGCCUACUCUUGUGUUGAGAUGGGCUCUGUGGCCCAAGUUUGUAGGUUAGCCAAGCCCAAAUAUUCCCAGAUCCACCACAGCGCAGAUAUACCAGACCCGUCGUCUGCCCUAACGCUGUAUCAUCCCCACCCAUCCUCCACCCCCAUCGACCGGCGGCGGCGACGGCGACCCAACCCUCCUCGGCGCCCUUGUCGUCCAAACCAAUCCCGCCCUUGUCGGCGGUAGCUGAAGGAACCUCAAGUUCGUUCUGUGCUCGGAUUGGAACAAGUAAGGAACAGGUGCCAAUCUCGUUCUGUAAUCGGAUUCGAAGAAGAAAGAGGUCAAUUUCGGUAUGUAUAUUAGGAAAAGGUGCUGUUUUUAUAUGUCUCUCACUCGUGAGACAAUAGUAAAUCCGUCGAAUUACGAAGUACUCCCUCUGUUCCAAAAUACUUGACUUCCAUUUGUCAAAAAAUGAAUGUACCUAUAUACUAAAACAUGUCUAGAUACAUCUAUAUUUUGACAAAUGAAGCCAUGUAUUGUGGAACGGAGGGAGUAUACACCAGCCAGAAUCGGAUCCGGAGGAUGCUAUAAUAAGCGCUCAGCCCGGUUGUGGACGAUUGUCAUCGUUUCUGCUCGCGUUUUGUUUGUCGUUGUUGCCUACCUUGUGCUUUUCUGAGAUUGAGAUUGGGUCACCAUGAAGCUCAAUAGAGGUCGCCGCCGCAGCCGGGAUUCGAAGAAAUCAGCUGGUAAUGGUGAGGCCAGGCUAAGCGAGCUUCCCAACCAUGUGCUGGUCAACAUCCUCGAGACGGUGGAAACACAGUCGACGAAAGCAGCUACUAAUGCGGAGGACAGGCUAAGCGAGCUGCCUAAUGAUUUGCUGCUCAACAUCCUCGAGAGAGUUAGUACCCUUGAUGCUGUAAGAACCUGCAUCCUUUCGAAGAAAAUGCAGAAGCUGCCAACUAUGCUCUCGCAGAUCGUAAUUGAUCUUAGCCCUUGUGAUUUGGUUCAAAUGGAUGGUGUUGUGGCUGACGUGACGGACAAGAUCCUUAGUACGAGGUCUCCACAGAUCACCGUUCGCAAGCUGAAGCUCAAAUUUUUCUUGGUUCCCUCUCGCUGUCUCUCCAUCGGAAAAUCGGUCGGCCUCGCCAUGGCGACUCAGAAGUUGGAUGCAGCUGAGUUUGAGAUCAUGCCACUGAUGGAUAACAGAUGUUGCACUGAUGCCCAUCGCCUGCUCUUUGGUCAGCAGUUCAAUGAUUUUGUUCGUGAUUGCCAGGAUGCAUUUGCUGGUCUCACGCGGCUGGAUCUACGAGGUUUGGAGAAUCGGACAUACCCAACAUUCUUAGCACCUGCAAGCAGCUCGAGUACCUGUCUUUCUUCGAGUGUGACGGGGGGUUCUGCUCGGUGCUGCAUGUAGAACACGCUCGACUCGUUGAGCUUGUUAUCACCUUUGGGGAAUUUAAAACAGUGGUGCUUGACUGUCUACCAAAGCUCCAGCGGAUGACCUACAAUCAUUGGCCCUGUGAUGAAAAUCCCUUGGUUCUUGGUUUUGUCCCUCAGCUUUGGAAGCUCAGUCUUGCUAAUGCAAACCUUUCAGGCAAGAUCCUCAACUUAAGCAAGCUGCUUGCUAAUGCCCCCACAGUAAGCGAUUUGUAUCUGGACUUUGUAAGCGAAAAGAUUUGGGUUCAACCAGAAUGCCCCAAAGUCCUUGCUCCUGUGCUUGCCAAACUCCGAUUUCUGAAUCUGGAUCAGCACCCCGAAGAAUGUGAUAUCUCUUGGACAAUGUUCGUUCUUGAAGCUGCACCACACGUAGAGGAGCUCUGCAUUACAGUAUGGGACCAUAAGUGCCGAAUGGAGUCACAAAAGAGUUUGUCCGAAAUAUCGGAUGUGAAGUGGGAGCCAUCUGAUCCUCGUUUUAAGCACAAGAAUCUGGCGAGGCUAAUUAUCUAUGGCUUCCAGUCCGAUGACAAUUUCACGGGAUACGUCGGGCGUGUCAUUCAAGCUGCGGUGAACAUCAGGGAGGUAUCCCUGCACGACAGGAAGGGGUGUGAAUUUUGUGCUGAGAAGUUUCCUCACAUGGAGGUUCGUCCUUCGAGUUAUCCACGGAUCACCGAGGAGGUGGAAUUGUUGAGGAAGAAGAUGACAGCAGCGUCAGCGUCAACUUCUCCUGAUAUUCUGUUCCGCUCAUAAGGUCGAGGUGAAGAUGAAUCUCAAUGUGGUGCUUCUCCUGAUAUUCUGUUCCGCUCAGAAGGUCGAGUUGAAGAUUAAUCUCGAUGUGGUUGGAAGGACUCCCCGAUCUCAAAGAAUAGUCAAUGCUAUUGUCCUUCUGCAAAAAUGUUUCUCGGCUACCAAUUUGUUGGAACAACUCAUUUAGCUAUUUUCAACGAUGAAAUGGCUAAAAUUAGCAUAUAUAUGUUGUGGUCGUCCUGUAUGUGCUUAUGUUGAAUUCAGUUAAUAUUCAGUACUAUGAAUGAUGCUCUGUUAUUUUUUC